AGAAAUUCCAAUCGAACUUGGAGAUAGCUGGUUCUCUCCGAAAUAGCUUUAGGGCUAGCCUCGAGGUAAAGAGUCAUGGAGGUAGAGCACUGUUUGGACUAGGGGCCCUUCUCGGGUUACCGAAUUCAGAUAAACUCCGAAUGCCAUGUACUUAUACUCGGGAGUCAGACUGCGAGUGAUAAGAUCCGUAGUCGAAAGGGAAACAGCCCAGACCACCAGUUAAGGUCCCCAAAUAUAUGUUAAGUGGAAAAGGAUGUGGGGUUGCUUAGACAACCAGGAUGUUGGCUUAGAAGCAGCCACCAUUGAAAGAGUGCGUAAUAGCUCACUGGUCGAGUGACCCCGCGCCGAAAAUGUACCGGGGCUAAACAUAUUACCGAAACUGUGGAUGAACCUCUUUAGAGGUUCGUGGUAGGAGAGCGUUCUAAGGGCGGUGAAGUCAGACCGGAAGGACUGGUGGAGCGCUUAGAAGUGAGAAUGCCGGUAUGAGUAGCGAAAGAAGGGUGAGAAUCCCUUCCACCGAAUAUCUAAGGUUUCCUGAGGAAGGCUCGUCCGCUCAGGGUUAGUCGGGACCUAAGCCGAGGCCGAUAGGCGUAGGCGAUGGACAACAGGUAGAGAUUCCUGUACCAGUGCUAAUUGUUUAACCGAUGGGGUGACACAGAAGGAUAGGGAAUCGCACGAAUGGAAAUGUGCGUCCAAGCAGUGAGUGUGAGAAGUAGGCAAAUCCGCUUCUCGCGAAGCAUGAGCUGUGAUGGGGAAGGAAAUUAAGUACGGAAGUUCCUGAUUUCACGCUGUCAAGAAAAGCCUCUAGGAAGAGUAGUACUGCCCGUACCGCAAACCGACACAGGUAGAUGAGGAGAGAAUCCUAAGGUGAGCGAGAGAACUCUCGUUAAGGAACUCGGCAAAAUGACCCCGUAACUUCGGGAGAAGGGGUGCUCUAUUAGGGUGCAAGCCCGAGAGAGCCGCAGUGAAUAGGCCCAGGCGACUGUUUAGCAAAAACACAGGUCUCUGCAAAACCGUAAGGUGACGUAUAGGGGCUGACGCCUGCCCGGUGCUGGAAGGUUAAGAGGAGUGCUUAGCUUCGGCGAAGGUACGAAUUGAAGCCCCAGUAAACGGCGGCCGUAACUAUAACGGUCCUAAGGUAGCGAAAUUCCUUGUCGG
rnacentral:rRNA from 1 species